rnacentral:rRNA from 1 species
UAACUGGAGGACCGAACCGACUAAUGUUGAAAAAUUAGCGGAUGACCUGUGGCUGGGGGUGAAAGGCCAAUCAAACCGGGAGAUAGCUGGUUCUCCCCGAAAGCUAUUUAGGUAGCGCCUCGUGAAUUCAUCUCCGGGGGUAGAGCACUGUUUCGGCUAGGGGGCCAUCCCGGCUUACCAACCCGAUGCAAACUGCGAAUACCGGAGAAUGUUAUCACGGGAGACACACGGCGGGUGCUAACGUCCGUCGUGAAGAGGGAAACAACCCAGACCGCCAGCUAAGGUCCCAAAGUCAUGGUUAAGUGGGAAACGAUGUGGGAAGGCCCAGACAGCCAGGAUGUUGGCUUAGAAGCAGCCAUCAUUUAAAGAAAGCGUAAUAGCUCACUGGUCGAGUCGGCCUGCGCGGAAGAUGUAACGGGGCUAAACCAUGCACCGAAGCUGCGGCAGCGACACUGUGUGUUGUUGGGUAGGGGAGCGUUCUGUAAGCCUGUGAAGG